AACGUAGGGGGCCAGCGUUGCUCGGAAUUACUGGGCGUAAAGGGUCCGUAGGCGGUGUGGCAAGUCGGUAGUGAAAUCUCUGGGCUUAACCCAGAGGCUGCUGCCGAAACUAGCGAGCUAGAGCGCGAUAGAGGAGGGUGGAAUUCCUGGUGUAGCGGUGAAAUGCGUAGAUAUCCGUAGGAACAUCCGAGGCGAAGGCGGCGCGCUGGACCACAACUGACGCUGAGGAACGAAAGCUAGGGGAGCAAACAGG
rnacentral:rRNA from 1 species